GGGGGCGUGGUGUAGCCUGGUUUAACACGUGGCCCUGUCAAGGCCAAGAGCGAGGGUUCGAAUCCCUUCGCCCCCGCCA
rnacentral:tRNA from 1 species